GUAUCUUCUGCUAGAUACAUAUACUGAAAUUAACAACAAACAAAGAAGAUAACCAGGACCCCUGCUCAAAUAAGAUAUGCGAAUUAAUGAAGCUGUACACACCCAC
rnacentral:snRNA from 1 species